UUGGAGUAGGAGAAGAUCCCUUAUAAUAAUAAAGAAAGUUAAGUUUCGCUCUUAGAAGUUUGUAUCUCGUGUGUGGUAGUAGUUAGGAUUAAAAGCCUAACUAGCUAUAUGCACGUAGUCGUAACUGAAAGGUUGAUCGACCACAGUGGGCCUGAAUAAAGCCCAUGACGAUUGUCACAGCAGUGAGGAAUAUUGGUCAAUAGCCUAACGGCUGAACCAGCAACUUGGAGGAAUGUAUAGCAAUAGCUACUUGCAUCUUCGUAUACAUGAUGCAAGAUCGACUCUGUCGAAUAAAAUUCUAGGUAGAAUUAUGAUAAUGACAUUGUCUGCCUAUGUGUCUUGACCAAAUUACGUGCCAGCAGUCGCGGUAAUACGUAGAAGACUAGUGUUAUUCAUGUUUAAUCGGUUUAAAGGGUACCUAGACGGUAAAUCAAGCCUACAAAUAAAAGAAAUGAAGGGACUAAUUUGCUAGAGUUACUUAUGAGGGGGUAUUAAAGUACUGCUGGUGUAGAGAUGAAAUUCUGUCAUACCUCUUUUCAAUAGAAAAAUAAUGGCACAGGUAUAGGCGAAAGCAUCCCCUUAUGUGAUAACUGACGUUGAGGGACGAAGGCUUUGUGUAGCGAACAGGAUUAGAUACCCCAGUAGUCAAAGCAGAAAAUGAUGAAUGUCAUAGAUUAGAUAUAUAAGUUUAUUCUAUAAAUGAAAGUGUAAGCAUUCCNCCUCAAGAGUAAUUUGGCAACAUUGGAACUGAAAUCAUUAGACCGUUUNUGAAACCAGUAGUGAAGUAUGUUGUUUAAUUUGAUGAUCCGCAAAAAACCUUACCNCAAUUUGAAUAUUUAUAUCUUUUAUUGUUUUUUUUUAUUUUUCUUCUUAUGACUUUUAUCCAUGAUUUUNUACUCAGUGAAGAAAAGGGAAGAAUACAAGAAAUAAGAAAAGAAGAAGAAGAAAAAUAAAAAAAAAAAUAAUAAGAUAUAUUUACAAGCGUUGCACGGCUGUCUUCAGUUAAUGUCGCAAGACUUUGGUUAGUUCCAUUAAAUUAACGUAAACCCUUACUUUAUUUUUAUAUAGAGUAGUUCUCCGCUAUAUUGGAUAUGAUAACAGGGACUAAGACAA
rnacentral:rRNA from 1 species